rnacentral:tRNA from 1 species
ACUGAAGUGGUGAAAUUGGCAGACACGCUAUCUUGAGGGGGUAGUGAGUAUACUCUCGUAGGGGUUCAAGUCCCCUCUUCAGUA